AACGCACGAGACCUGCGGACCUGCGGAGGGAUCAUUACCGAGUUUACAACUCCCAAACCCAAUGUGAACGUUACCAAACUGUUGCCUCGGCGGGAUCUCUGCCCCGGGUGCGUCGCAGCCCCGGACCAAGGCGCCCGCCGGAGGACCAACCAAAAACUCUUUUUGUAUACCCCCUCGCGGGUUUUUAUAUAUCUGAGCCUUUCUCGGCGCCCCUUCGUGGGCGUUUCGAAAAUGAAUCAA
rnacentral:misc_RNA from 1 species